rnacentral:lncRNA from 1 species
GGGCAAGAGGUACGGGAGGGGGGAGCAACCUAGGGGAGGGGAGAAAGGAGCGAAGGGGGGGCCUGGGGUGGGGGGGAAGCGAUGUUUGCCCGUCAGUCGAGUCCGGAGUGAGGAGCUCGGGUGCUGUAGCGGAGGGGAGACUGAGCUGGAGCUUACCGCCUCCCCGGCCACCGCCUGGGCCUUUGCCCGGAGGGAGCCGCAGAGGGUCCAUCGUCGCCGUCCUCUGGAGGGCAGAGCGGUUGGGGGCCCGGACCUCUAGUCCGGGAGGGAUUUUUCGUCGUUCCCCCUCCCCCCAGCGAGGGAGCCCGAGCGGCCGCCAAACAAAGGUGCAGGUGAAUCUGGUGUUAUCGAGGGGAUCGUGGCCCCGGCAUCAUUAUGAAGGUAAGAUUUGCUGCUUGCCGACAUUUAGAUCGGUAGGGGUUUUUGACUGAGGUGGUUCUGGGGGGCCUCCCUGAGUUUUGCAUAGGAGGUGUGUUUGUGCGUCGGUGCUCGAGCUCUGCCCUGGGUGACGGUCGGGGUCAGCUGGUAGGGAUCUACUCUACAGCUCAGGGGCUCUGGUGCCAGGCUGGUUCCUCGGGCCUGUGCCGUUGAGUUAGAGUCAGUUAUGGAAUAUCUCAUCGAGCAUGAUUCUCCCCUGUAGAACGUCUCAUUAUGCAGGGAUAGAUAGGAAACUGCAUGAAUUAAAAAUGUUUUAAAAGGUAAAACUGAAAAAAGCAGGACAAGUAAUCUGUCUCUAGAUAUUGAACUGUAUUGUGGUUCUGUGGGUUACACUGAUGCACGAAAAUCUAAUUUGUAUGAACAGUACUGUAAAUUUUUAACAGAAAAUCCAUUUGAUUAGCCAUAAAAAUAAUCGUUGAAAUAUAUUUAAAGAGAAUUUUGGUCAUCUUUACACAGUUUAAAGAUAGCAGUUUUUCCUUUAAUUUCCAGGGAUUUAGGGUGAUAUGGUUUAUUUUCCUUUAUUGAUCCAUUUGGUCUGCAAGUUGUCAGUUGCUGUAUUUCAUUGUGAUGUGUGGAAAACUGAUGGCCAAGUUUCUCUUAAUUUAAAUACGGUAACUGAAUGGAGGAAUAGUGUCUAAAAGGCACAAUUUGCUUAACUGGUGUAAGAAAUGAUGGCAAUAAAAGUACCCAGGUUAUUUUUUCAAAUUAGAGAAUAUGUAAAAUCGAAUGCUGUUUAAUUUUUUAAUGCACACUAGAAUAGAAAAGCUGUAGAUAUUUGAAUUGUCUAGAUUCAGCUGGUGACACUUAAAGACUAGCAGGUGUUAUAUUUUCAUCCAGUACAAAUUCAAAAGUGCUUGAAAAGGGUAGAGUGUGUUGACAGGUAUAGAAAUGCAACAAGUAGUAUGUUGGUGUGUAAGUAUCUCCUUUGACCAGUGCCUUUGAACUGUUGUUUUUGUUUUUGUUUUAACUUUAUUUCACAUCUCUUCAAAUCAGGACUGUUUUUACAGUACAGCAUCCAAAUUAAAAUUUGUGAAGCAUGUAUUUAUGGAAGAAAGUAAAAGCUAUGGCUACUUAAACAUUUAUCUACUAUAUAAAGUAGGUUUAGUCCAAAUUUUUUCUGGGUUUUUCUUCUUGAGUUUGGGGUGCUAUAAACUCUUACAUGAAACAGUUUUUAUCUAUUGAUUUUCUGUCUUACCCUCAUUUAAAGCAAAACUAAGCAAAAAACUAUUGUUUCUGAAAUGAAUCCUUCUUGUCGUUAGUCACAAACUCUAGCUCCAACUCCUGUGACUCUUAUAAAACAGUGAAAAGUGAAUUUAUUAUGAGAACCG